GCGUCCUUGGCCGAUUGGUUAGGCAACAAACUCAUAAUUUGUUUUUAGGUCGGUUCGAUUCCGGCAGGGCGUA
rnacentral:tRNA from 1 species